rnacentral:rRNA from 1 species
GAUGAACGCUUGCGGCAGGCUUAAUACAUGCAAGUCGAACGGUAACAGGGUCUUCGGACUGCUGACGAGUGGCGGAUGGGUGAGUAACGCGUAUGCAACCUUCCUCACACCGAGAAAAAGUCGACUGAAAAGUUGAAUAAAGUCUCGUGGUGUGCAUUUCUCGCAUGAGAGAUGUAUGAUAGAAGCAAUUUGGUGUGAGAUGGGCAUGCGUAUCAUUAGCUAGUUGGUAAGGUACGGCUUACCAAGGCGACGAUGAUUAGGGGGCCUGAGAGGGUGGCCCCCCACACUGGGACUGAGACACGGCCCAGACUCCUACGGGAGGCAGCAGUAGGGAAUAUUGGUCAAUGGGCGGAAGCCUGAACCAGCCAUGCCGCGUGAUGGAUGACGGCCUUAGGGUUGUGAACUCUUUUCUGCUAGAGGAAUAUAGUUCACGUGUGGACAGACGACUGUAUAGCAGGAAUAAGGAUCGGCUAACUCCGUGCCAGCAGCCGCGGUAAUACGGAGGAUUCGAGCGUUAUCCGGAUUUACUGGGUUUAAAGGGUGCGCAGGCGGGCUCUUAAGUCAGCGGUGAAAUGUCUGGGCUUACCCUAGAAUUGCCGUUGAUACUGGGAGUCUUGGAUAAGCAUAAGGACGGCGGAAUGCGUAGUGUAGCGGUGAAAUGCUUAGAUAUUACGUAGAAGACCAAUUGCGAAGGCAGCUGUCUGGGUCUUUAUCGACGCUCAAGCACGAAAGCGUGGGGAGCAAACAGGAUUAGAUACCCUGGUAGUCCACGCCGUAAACGAUGAUCACUCGCUCUUGGCGACAUGCUGUCAGGGGCCAAGCGAAAGCGUUAAGUGAUCCACCUGGGGAGUACGGCCGCAAGGCUGAAACUCAAAGGAAUUGACGGGGGCCCGCACAAGCGGAGGAACAUGUGGUUUAAUUCGAUGAUACGCGAGGAACCUUACCUGGGCUAGAACGGCAUACGAAUUAAGAGGGAAACCUUUUAAGCCUUUAUGGCGUAUGUUGAGGUGCUGCAUGGUUGU